UGCACUCACUACUGUAAGUCGCUCUGGAUAAAAGCAUCUUCUAAAUGACUAAAA
rfam:Salmo salar isolate Sally breed double haploid chromosome ssa06, whole genome shotgun sequence.